UACGUAGGGAGCAAGCGUUGUCCGGAUUUAUUGGGCGUAAAGAGCUCGUAGGCGGCUUAGAAAGUCAGUUGUGAAAACUCUGGGCUUAACCCAGAGACGCCACUUGAUACUUCUAUGGCUUGAGUUCGGUAGGGGACCAUGGAAUUCCUGGUGUAGCGGUGAAAUGCGCAGAUAUCAGGAGGAACACCGAUGGCGAAGGCAGUGGUCUGGGCCGAUACUGACGCUGAGGAGCGAAAGCGUGGGGAGCGAACAGG
rnacentral:rRNA from 1 species